AGAGUUUGAUCCUGGCUCAGGAUGAACGCUGGCGGCAUGCCUAAUACAUGCAAGUCGAACGAGAGGAAGGAGAGCUUGCUUUCCUGAAUCUAGUGGCGAACGGGUGAGUAACACGUAGGUAACCUGCCCAUGUGCCCGGGAUAACUUCUGGAAACGGAUGCUAAAACCGGAUAGGUAGCAGACAAGCAUUUGACUGCUAUUAAAGUGGCUAAGGCCAUGAACAUGGAUGGACCUGCGGUGCAUUAGCUAGUUGGUGAGGUAACGGCCCACCAAGGCGACGAUGCAUAGCCGGCCUGAGAGGGCGGACGGCCACACUGGGACUGAGACACGGCCCAAACUCCUACGGGAGGCAGCAGUAGGGAAUUUUCGUCAAUGGGGGGAACCCUGAACGAGCAAUGCCGCGUGAGUGAGGAAGGUCUUCGGAUCGUAAAGCUCUGUUGUAAGAGAAAAACGACAUUCAUAGGGAAUGAUGAGUGAGUGAUGGUAUCUUACCAGAAAGUCACGGCUAACUACGUGCCAGCAGCCGCGGUAAUACGUAGGUGGCGAGCGUUAUCCGGAAUGAUUGGGCGUAAAGGGUGCGUAGGUGGCAGAUCAAGUCUGGAGUAAAAGGUAUGGGCUCAACCCGUACUGGCUCUGGAAACUGAUCAGCUAGAGAGCAGAAGAGGACGGCGGAACUCCAUGUGUAGCGGUAAAAUGCGUAGAUAUAUGGAAGAACACCGGUGGCGAAGGCGGCCGUCUGGUCUGGAUUCUGACACUGAAGCACGAAAGCGUGGGGAGCAAAUAGGAUUAGAUACCCUAGUAGUCCACGCCGUAAACGAUGAGAACUAGGUGUUGGGGGAAUAACUCAGUGCCGCAGUUAACGCAAUAAGUUCUCCGCCUGGGGAGUAUGCACGCAAGUGUGAAACUCAAAGGAAUUGACGGGGGCCCGCACAAGCGGUGG
rnacentral:rRNA from 1 species